UACGUAGGGGGCAAGCGUUGUCCGGAAUCAUUGGGCGUAAAGCGCGCGUAGGCGGCCUUGUAAGUCCGUUGUGAAAGUCAAAGGCUCAACCUUUGAAAGCCGAUGGAUACUGCAAGGCUAGAGUCCGGAAGAGGCGAGUGGAAUUCCUGGUGUAGCGGUGGAAUGCGCAGAUAUCAGGAGGAACACCAAUAGCGAAGGCAGCUCGCUGGGACGGUACUGACGCUGAGGCGCGAAAGCGUGGGGAGCGAACGGG
rnacentral:rRNA from 1 species